CGGCAACAGCUCAAAUUUGAAAUCUGGCCCUUGGGUCCGAAUUGUAAUUUGCAGAGGAUGCUUUUGGUUAGGUACCUUCCGAGUUCCCUGGAACGGGACGCCUUAGAGGGUGAGAGCCCCGUACGGUUGGAUGCCGAGCCUUUGUAAAGCUCCUUCGAC
rnacentral:rRNA from 1 species